UACGGAAGGGGCAAGCGUUGUUCGGAAUCAUUGGGCGUAAAGGGCGCGUAGGUGGUUCUGUAUGCCUACCGUGAAAGCGUACGGCUCAACCGUAUUUUGUCGGUAGAAACUGCAGGACUUGAGGCUGGGAGGGGCUGGUGGAAUUCCCUGUGUAGCGGUGAAAUGCGUAGAGAUGGGGGAGAACACUCGUGGCGAAGGCGGCCAGCUAGACCAGUUCUGACACUGAGGCGCGACAGCGUGGGGAGCAAACAGG
rnacentral:rRNA from 1 species